rnacentral:rRNA from 1 species
AUUGGACGCUGGCGGCAGGCCUAACACAUGCAAGUCGAGCGGAUGACGGGAGCUUGCUCCUUGAUUCAGCGGCAGACGGGUGAGUAAUGCCUAGGAAUCUGCCUGGUAGUGGGGGACAACGUUUCGAAAGGAACGCUAAUACCGCAUACGUCCUACGGGAGAAAGCAGGGGACCUUCGGGCCUUGCGCUAUCAGAUGAGCCUAGGUCGGAUUAGCUAGUAGGUGAGGUAAUGGCUCACCUAGGCGACGAUCCGUAACUGGUCUGAGAGGAUGAUCAGUCACACUGGAACUGAGACACGGUCCAGACUCCUACGGGAGGCAGCAGUGGGGAAUAUUGGACAAUGGGCGAAAGCCUGAUCCAGCCAUGCCGCGUGUGUGAAGAAGGUCUUCGGAUUGUAAAGCACUUUAAGUUGGGAGGAAGGGCAGUAAGUUAAUACCUUGCUGUUUUGACGUUACCGACAGAAUAAGCACCGGCUAACUCUGUGCCAGCCGCCGCAGUAA